AUUGAACGCUGGCGGCAGGCCUAACACAUGCAAGUCGAGCGGAGCGGCGGAAGGGUGAGCAAUGCCUAGGAAACUGCCUGGUAGUGGGGGCUAACGUCCGGAAACGCGCGCGAAUACCGAAUAAUAUCAGAUGAGACAAGGUCGGAUGAGCUGGUUGGUGGUGUAAAGGCCUACAAAGGCGACGAUCCGUAAAUGGUCUGAGAGGAUGCACAGUCAGACGGGUACUGGGACCCGGUCCCGACUCCUACGGGAGGCAGCGGUGGGGAAUAUUGGCACAUGGGCGAAAGCGUGAUCCAGCCAUGCCGCGUGUGUGAAGAAGGUCUUCGGAUUUUAAGGCACUUUAAGUUGGUAGGCGUUACCAACAGAAUAAGCGCCGGCUAACUUCGUGCCAGCCGCCGCGGGAAUUC
rnacentral:rRNA from 1 species